UGGUAAAUAGAUCCUGUCAUUAGUCCAAAAAUACCAGCCUUACGCCAGACUAGGGUUUUGAACCUUCAAUAUCCAAAAUUCUUACAAGAAGCGAAUUUGUUUUCCAAAUAACCAAAAAAGUAAUGUAGAAAUGAUGAUGCAGUGAAGGUGCUUAAAGGCAAAAGCUUGGAGUCAUGGAGUGUCUCUAGGGCUGUCCAUUCAAGAACAUAAGAUGAACAUAAUUCAGCUAACUCCCAAAGUUAACAUGAUUUCUUAAUGGUCAAUUAAACAUUGUGCCAUUAACAAUCCAAACCGCAACUCCUACAUGUUUGGAUUUUAGACGAUAAAGAAAUGCCAAGUACACCAAAACUUUUAAAUCAAGUCACAUCUUUCCCACCAAAGAAACAAAAAGACUUAAGCAACCAGUUCUAUUCGAAGAAGAACUCCAAACAAAAUCCCAAAACCUUUGCAACUAUCCUCAGUGACGGUACCUGUACCUGUCCCUGUCCCUGUCCCUGUCACGGUCUCGGUCUCGAUCUUUUUUCCCAGUCCCUCGAUCUCGUAGCCUCGCCGUUUCCUGCAACUCCACAGGCCCAUCAUCCUCUGGAGAAUCUCUUAGGCUCCCACUUCUAUGUCGUCUUCUAGACGCCAAACCAUUUGCAGCAGCCAUAUUUACUCUUCUAACUUCUCUAUUUCUCUCCAUUUCUGUUUUGAUUUUGUAUUAGCAAAUCCGUUACAAACAGAAGGUGAUUAUUUUUAUCUCUCAUCACCGGAAACCAAGCAUUAUUUGCUGGAAACGGAGAGUCGAUAACCCGAAUUUGCAGAUUCAGAGCUAUAUUCAGCCUUCUUAGCUAAUCCUGUACAAUAGAAUGAUCUCUCAACGGAAGCAGAGUUGAAAGAUCUUAGCUUUCACUUAUUCUCUUAUUCUCUCCCUACUCCCCUUUGCCCCUUCCCUCUUUCUCCUCAAAUCUUCCUCUGUCCUCUUUUUUGUGCUCG
rnacentral:misc_RNA from 1 species